rnacentral:rRNA from 1 species
UACAGAGGGUGCAAGCGUUGUUCGGAAUUACUGGGCGUAAAGCGCGUGUAGGCGGCCUGUUAAGUCUCGUGUGAAAGCCUGGGCUCAACCCAGGAAGUGCGCGAGAUACUGGCAGGCUUGAGUGACGGAGAGGAUGGCGGAAUUCCCGGUGUAGAGGUGAAAUUCGUGAGAUAUCGGGAGGAACACCUGUGGCGAAGGCGGCCAUCUGGACGUCGAACUGACGCUGAGACGCGAAAGCAUGGGGAGCAAACAG